rnacentral:rRNA from 1 species
UGGGGAAUUUUGGACAAUGGGCGAAAGCCUGAUCCAGCAAUGCCGCGUGUGUGAAGAAGGCCUUCGGGUUGUAAAGCACUUUUGUCCGGAAAGAAAUCCUUGGCUCUAAUACAGUCGGGGGAUGACGGUACCGGAAGAAUAAGCACCGGCUAACUACGUGCCAGCAGCCGCGGUAAUACGUAGGGUGCAAGCGUUAAUCGGAAUUACUGGGCGUAAAGCGUGCGCAGGCGGUUUGCUAAGACCGAUGUGAAAUCCCCGGGCUCAACCUGGGAACUGCAUUGGUGACUGGCAGGCUAGAGUAUGGCAGAGGGGGUAGAAUUCCACGUGUAGCAGUGAAAUGCGUAGAGAUGUGGAGGAAUACCGAUGGCGAAGGCAGCCCCCUGGGCAAGUACUGACGCUCAUGCACGAAAGCGUGGGGAGCAAACNGGAUUAAUACCCUGGGUAGUCCCACGCCCUAAACGAUGUCAACUAGUUGUUGGGGAUUCAUUUUCCUUAGUAACGUAGCUAACGCGUGAGUUGACCGCCUGGGGAGUACGGUCGC